GCGUAUACAAUCUACCUUAUAGAGGGGAAUAGCCCAGAGAAAUUUGGAUUAAUGCCCCAUAGUAUUAUUGAAUAGCAUUAUUUAAUAAUUAAACAUUUAUGGCUAUAAGAUGAGUAUGCGU
rnacentral:ncRNA from 1 species